UUAAUGAUGAGUGUGUUACUCUCCAGUAAAGUAAUAUAAACACGUGUAUUACACUAUGGACACUAAACUUCAGAGACAAGUUUCAGCUUUUCAGAGAGUCUGAUGAAGCAAACCCUCUAUGAGAAAACAACAGUGAGCACCAAAUACCAGUGCAGCAGAAGCAAAUCCUGCAGUGCCAGGUGCUUGAAAUCAUCAUUGAUCAUAUCAUAUAGGCAAUUUCAUGUGGAAAGUUCAACACGGACGAGAAAGUUCCAUAAUAUGAAAUGUAAGCUAAAAACAUGCUUUCACUGUUUUGAACUGAUGCAAGAAAGACUUAUAGAUCCAGAUUUUACCACAACAAUAUGUUGUGCACCAGCUGACCAUAGUUUCCAGCGCUGGUGCAGACUGUCACAUCAACAUGUAUUGAAUGCGUAAACAUGUCGCUGGCUGCUGUUUCUGAUUCUGCUGAUUCUUUAUUAUGUUGUGCGUCACUCCAAAGAAAUGGAUUGCUCUGUGUGAAGAAAAUUUGGUUAAAGCUUGUAUUGCAACGGUAAAUAAAUGGUGUAGGGCUGCAGGGGCAUGGGGUGAAAACAAAGGCUGGAAUAAGUGUUCUGGAGUGUGAAUAGCGUUGUGCAUUUCAAUCGUGUGUAGUGAUGGUCGAGGUUAGUGAAGUGUGAGAGGUUCUGUCUGUGGUGCUGAUUAGUCUGGACGUGCGUUACAUGUUGGCUGAAUGGAAAGGGUUCUGAUGGACUGUGUGUAAUAAACCAUGAUGACCUCCUGCUAAUCCACACACUGCAGCCCAGAGUCACUAAAGCACAGCCAAUAAACGGAUAGCUGCCCAGUCGCCACUUUGGACCUGCUUUGGUCAUGUUAAAAUUUCAGUGAUUGGGCCUAUUGCUAAUAACUAAUAAGGUGGGGCAGUAAGGGAUUCACGACAUGCUGGACUAAGGGGAUGCUCAGCUUUAAUGAACAGCAGGAACAAGUCUGCUGAACAGGAUGCACUAGCAGGAGAUGUGCUGCAUUAGCUGGUCGUUGAGAUGCCGAUCUGACACUAAAUUCACACACAAUAUUCACGCAUAGAUGCACAAAACAACACAUGACUCACUUGCUGCUCUGCCGCCACCAGCUGUCGAUUAGUGGAAGAAUAGCAUCGCUUGGGUGCACAUCUGCAUUACCAUUAGCUCUCUGUGGUCAGCAGGAAUGUGCAUCAAAGAUGUGCUCAAAACAUUGCUCCAUAUCGUGUAUGAUCGUUCUGAACUACCGCUCUACUGCUUUUUUUUUAUCACAUUUAUUAUGACCAACUUAACUGCUACUUUUCUAGAUCAUCGCAGUUCACACAUGAAUAGUUUGGUUGUUAAUACAUAUUUGAUGUUAUUCAUGUCUCUGUGAUGUUAUUCCACUGUAUCAUGUUGUUGUCUGUUAUGUUCUAUGUCUUCAUAUUGCAGCGUUCUAUACUGCUGGUUCUAGUCAACGACAAAUUCCCACUACAAUGGACGAUGAAGUUUUAUUUCAUAUGCUCGACUGGAAUAGGAACAAACACAUCAUUAAAUCAGCAAUGUCCCACUGUCGUCAUCAUUAUGAAACUCAGUUUGAUGCCAACAUCUUUCAUUAAAAUAAAAACAUGCAGCCAUUUGGGGCCCCGAGUUCCCUCGGUACGGAAAUAUGACGCUAAUCACGGACACAGUGCAAGCCAAGCCUGGGGAAAACUGCUCUCUGCUUUAGGAGUGUUUUCAAAGAACACCAUUAAAAAAUAAUAAUUGAUGAAGUUGGCUCUGAGCAAAGGCACUAAGCACUUUAAAAGCCUUUCGUCGUCUUACAAUACAAUUUCCAAAUCAAUAUUUCAUUAACUGGAUAGAGGUGCAAUGUUCCUUGUUAAUAAAGAAGGUUUGGCUCAGCACAGACUUAACGUUUAGCUUUAGUGAAUUUCAGGUAGGAAGAUGGAAAAUUAUGUUCCACCUGGCCUCUAAAUACACACACAUACGCACACACACAUUCAGUGUAUUCUCUGCACACGCGAACACACACGCCUGGUCCUCCCUUGAUUGUUCCUGUGUUUAUGGGCCGUUUUAUGACCGGAGAGCCACUGAUAUCCAGCAUCGGCGGGCAUCAGGUGACUUUCCCGGCAGAGAGAAACAAAUGUGAGCUCUGCUGCCGCCACACUGACGCCGCUGUAAAUACAGAGUGAAUUUCAGGACAGAAUAAGCUCACAGAUGGCGCUGCGAUGGAUUGGCGACCUGUCCAGGGUGUACCCCGCCUUUCGCCCAAUGUCAGCUGGGAUUGACUCCAGCCCCACUCCCCGCCACCCUGUACGCAGGAUAAGUGGUUGACGAUGGAUGGAUGGAUGGAUGGAAUAAGCUCACAGAGUAUAGAUUACAUUUAAAAAGCUGAGUUAUUUCAAGUUAAACCACUAAGAAUGUUCAACUCUGAUUUGCUGGAGGGGGUGCAUCCUUUUAACAUAACCACACAGUGUUCAAAUGUUAUAUUCGAAGCUAGAAGCCUACUUGUUUUAGCUAAUGUUUUAUCUGAUUCGACCUGGUCUUUUGUUUACUGUUGGAUCCAUAUUGUGCCUUUUAAAUACCUGCUGUCACUCCUAUGAAAGUGGAUUUCAGUAAGUGUUUUAUGCUAUGGCCCUUCACACUUGACAUUUGUCUGUUAGUGACGACGAUCAAUAGAUCGCUUGUUGCUUGUUGUUAGGCAAGGAAAGGUCUGCAGAAGAAGUAAAUAAAUGAUCAUUCACCACUCA